rnacentral:lncRNA from 1 species
UACCAUUAUCCCAGGGCCUCCUCUGGGCUCCUGGUCUUCGAGUCCCACAAUCGUGCCAGGCCGUAGAAUGGGGUCCUGGUCUUUCAUUUCCGUGCCAGGCCGUAGAAUGGGGUCCUGGUCUUCCUGUCAUGGACUAAUUGGGUCAUCCAACAUUCACCCACAUCAACAACAAUCAAUGCAAUGCGGCAUAUUCGUGAAUACUAAUGCAAUCAUCCUAUUGCAUAAUCAUGAUGCAUGAAACAUGAUAAAACAUUUAAUUUAAAAGAUUAAGUUUAGUUCCACUCACCUCUGGCAGACUCUGACAACACCGAAGCAGCUGGACUCACUGCUGGGGUCCUCGGUUCCUCGGGUUCGAACCUACACAGGUGGACUCAAAUGAGGGACCAAACACACUUGAACAUAAUUCUAAAAUACUCCCCAAAAACCCC